rnacentral:misc_RNA from 1 species
UUUCCGUAGGUGAAUCUGCGGAAGGAUCAUUACAAAUCUUUGCGAGUCUGCGUGCCUAGCCGUACGCAGUUCUCACACAUUAGCACAGGGCCGCAAGGUUCUGAUGUUUACGCUUGUAUGUUUGACAGAGUUAGUUGAGAAUAAAUAAAGACAACUUUUAACAAUGGAUCUCUUGGCUCUU